ensembl:lncRNA
AGAGCAAGUCCCUUUUCUCCCUCUGUCAAUUCCAACUGCUUGGGCAAAAUCCCCUCUGCACUGCUGGACAUGCAUUCAAGAAAAGUGGUUGGCAAGCAAGUUCAUAGCUCCAGCUUUCAAGGUCCUCUGCAUCAUCCUGCAGUAGAACCAGAAGGAAUAGAAGGAAUACUGGGAGGAUACUUCCAAAUCGCCCCCUCCACUCCCCCCCUCAGACACAAAAGCCAGCCAACCAAACAAGCAAGCAAAACCUAAUCCACCAAAAAAUGAAAAAUUAAAACCUAUUAAACAGAUUUAUCUGUUCUUGUCUACUCUAAUUGCAAAGUAAUAGUUGUCAUUGUUUUAAUUAAGAUGCCAUUUUUUUUCUUGAUUGCUUUAGUCUUAAUUCCAGCUUCUAGGAGAAAGCUGUCCAUUCUUGGUUCCUUGCUAUACUUCCCUAUAACAAGCUGAGUUCACAUUAUUCAAACCUCGUAAGACCUUUCCAGUAUGGAAUGAAGUCUGGAUUUCUUUGAAGUCAGUAGUAAAAUUCCUACUGACUUUCACAGGAUUUUUGCCCACAGAGAUUUCAGUAUACGCCAUCUCUUUGCUGACUUUAUUUAAGACCUCAUUAAAGUUUUAAAUCUGCUAAAGCUGUAUUUUUCUGAUUUUUCUCAUCAUUGUCCUUCCUUUCAAAAAGAAUAAAUACAUUUGCAAUGCAUCA